rnacentral:rRNA from 1 species
UACGUAGGUGACAAGCGUUGUCCGGAUUUACUGGGCGUAAAGAGCGCGCAGGCGGUCGUUCAAGUCGAGUGUGAAAGCCCCCGGCUCAACUGGGGAGGGUCACUCGAUACUGAUCGACUCGAAGGCAGGAGAGGGAAGUGGAAUUCCCGGUGUAGUGGUGAAAUGCGUAGAUAUCGGGAGGAACACCAGUGGCGAAGGCGGGUCUCUGGACAGUUCCUGACGCUGAGGCACGAAGGCCAGGGGAGCGAAACGGG